CUAUGAAUGAAGUAUGGUAAUGUGCACAGAAAAUAAUUUGGGUUUCUAGACUUGUCCUCUCUGAUGUCUUUCGGCUUUUGAUUUGAUUUGGGGGUAUGAUUAAUUCCACAACA